rnacentral:rRNA from 1 species
UACGUAGGGUGCGAGCGUUGUCCGGAAUUGCUGGGCGUAAAGAGCUCGUAGGUGGUUUGUCGCGUUGUUCGUGAAAACUCACAACUCAAUUGUGGGCGUGCGGGCGAUACGGGCAGACUGGAGUACUGCAGGGGAGACUGGAAUUCCUGGUGUAGCGGUGGAAUGCGCAGAUAUCAGGAGGAACACCGGUGGCGAAGGCGGGUCUCUGGGCAGUAACUGACGCUGAGGAGCGAAAGCGUGGGGAGCGAACAGG